CAGCCGCCGCGGUAAUGCGAAGGGUGCAAGCGUUAAUCGGAAUUACUGGGCGUAAAGCGUGCGUAGGCGGUGAGUUAAGUCUGCUGUGAAAUCCCCGGGCUCAACCUGGGAUGGCAGUGGAUACUGGCUCGCUAGAGUGUGUCAGAGGAUGGUGGAAUUCCCGGUGUAGCGGUGAAAUGCGUAGAGAUCGGGAGGAACAUCAGUGGCGAAGGCGGCCAUCUGGGACAACACUGACGCUGAGGCACGAAAGCGUGGGGAGCAAACAGGAUUAGAUACCCCAGUAGUCCCUGUCUCUUAUACA
rnacentral:rRNA from 1 species